rnacentral:rRNA from 1 species
CCUACGGGAGGCUGCAGUAGGGAAUCUUUCACAAUGGCCGAAAGCCUGAUGGAGCAACGCCGCGUGCAGGAUGAAGGCCUUCGGGUUGUAAACUGCUUUUAUAAGCGAGAAAUAUGAUGGUAACUUAUGAAUAAGGAUCGGCUAACUACGUGCCAGCAGCCGCGGUCAUACGUAGGAUCCGAGCAUUAUCCGGAGUGACUGGGUGUAAAGAGUUGCGUAGGUGGCAUAAUAAGUAGCCAGUGAAAUCUGGUGGCUCAACCAUUCAGACUAUUAGCGAAACUGUUAAGCUCGAGACCGGUAGGGGUAACUGGAAUGUGUAGUGUAGGAGUGAAAUCCGUAGAUAUGAGAAGGAACACCAAUAGCGUAGGCAGGUUGCUGGGACGGGUCUGACACUAAGGCACGAAAGCGUAGGGAGCAAACGGGAUUAGAUACCCCAGUAGUC